rnacentral:rRNA from 1 species
UACGUAGGGCGCAAGCGUUAUCCGGAAUUAUUGGGCGUAAAGAGCUCGUAGGCGGUUUGUCGCGUCUGCCGUGAAAGUCCGGGGGCUCAACUCCGGAUCUGCGGGUGGGUACGGGCAGACUAGAGUGCAGUAGGGGAGACUGGAAUUCCUGGUGUAGCGGUGAAAUGCGCAGAUAUCAGGAGGAACACCGAUGGCGAAGGCAGGUCUCUGGGCUGUAACUGACGCUGAGGAGCGAAAGCAUGGGGAGCGAACAGG